GGGUGUAGCUCAGUUGGUAGAGCAUCGGUCUCCAAAACCGAGUGUGGAGGGUUGGACCCUUUCCCCCCUG
rnacentral:tRNA from 1 species